GAUUGAAGUCAGUCGUACCGACGGAAAAUCAACUUUUUGAGUGCGGACUUGUGGGUUUACGUGAGCUUUACGGCCAUGUUGUUCGCAAUGUUCGUUCUUUUUGGGUGUACUUUUUCGUAUGGUUUGCCAAUGUCAGUUUCGAUUGCUAUAAAAUGACCGGCGGAAUGUAGCUUCGAUCUCGUAUUGAAGUGUUAUAGCCUCUGGUAGAUGUGGUGAUUGGGACUGAGGAUUGCAACGAAUACCUUCUGGGCUAUCCGUCUGAUCUUCUGAAAGUUGCUUAGGUGCCGAAAGCGUGCUUACGGUUAUUUAAGUGAC
rnacentral:rRNA from 1 species